UACCAACUACUUUAUCCCCACACAUCUUUUUUUUUGAAAAAAUAUUUGCAUAUAUUAAUACAUACAACAUAGCAUACAGAUCAUCUUGUCUCCAAUAAUAUGAAAAUAUUAAUCCUUAUUCAAAGAUGAUGAUGAUUAUAUAUAUAUUUCAAGAAAAUCUGUACAAUUUUGAAGCAUUAGCUGUGUUGUUGCAUAUUACUUUGUGACAUCUUUGCAUGAUCUAUUGUAUUUCAUGUGGCUCUUAACAAGUUGCCCAGCUGAGAUAGCUGACAUGAGGGAUAGCUCACCCGCGAGAACCGAACCUGCUACUAUUGUGGCCAAAAGCCUUGCAUUUGACCCUGGUGCCUCUCUGUUGGCACCUUUCACUCCUAAUAAGUUCAAGCAAGCUGAUUGCGAUGCUAGUUGAGUUCCUCCUCCUACUGUACCCACCUCAAUUGAAGGCAUGGUGACGGAUAUAUGGAGGUCCUUGCCAUCAUUUACAGCCUCCAUCAUAGUGAUGCAGUGCGAGCUUUCAAUAUUUUGAGCCGGGUCUUGGCCAGUGGCUAAAUAUACAGCUGAGACAAUAUUGCUGGCAUGGGCAUUGAAGCCACCAAGUGCACCAGCCAUGGCAGAGCCAGUGAGGUUUUUAAGCAUGUUCAGCUCAACUAGAGCAGCAACCUCAGUUUUCAGAACUUUCUUCACCACCUCUUCCUUGAUGAUUGCCUCACAAACUACCGACUUUCCUCUCCCCUCAAUCCAAUUAACUGCUGCUGGUUUCUUGUCCGAGCAAUAGUUCCCAGAUAUGCCGAUGAUGUCCAUGUCGGGGUACUCAUUCUGAAGGUAAUCAAGAACGUUUUGUACACCUUUGGAAACCAUGUUCAUUCCCAUCGCGUCACCAGUGCUACAGCUAAACCUCAUGUAUAGAUUCUUUCCAGCUAUUGCACAUUGAAUGUUCUGUAAUCUGGCAAAUCUGCUUGAUUUAUUGAAUACAACAGAUAGAGUCUCGAAAUUCAUUGUAUCCUCGACGAAGAACUUCAACUCUGCAGCUCUCUUUGCGCUGCCGAACCUAACUACAGGAGCUCUAGUCAUCCCAUCUCUAAACAAAACACUGGUAGCGCCACCGGAAACAUAAAUGGCUUUACAACCCCUGUUAGUACUAGCAACUAAACAUCCUUCUGUGGUUGCCAUUGGUACAGAAAAUUCAUUCCCAUUAAGCAGCAAAGGUCCAGCUAUUCCCACUGGUAUUUGAAUAUACCCAAUUGGCAUCUCACAACACUGUCCAAGAAUUGAUUCAUAAUCAAAUCCAUCUAAUGGUAACCCAUCCAAUGACUUCCCUGAACUCCUCUGUAACGCCUCUUUUCGAAUAAAAGCAGCUCUUUUACAGUCACCCAACUUAGAUUCCAAUGAAUAUGAUGGUAUUCUCCCUUCCACCACCGAUUUGAUAAUCACCUCAUCGUCCUCUAACGAAAAUGGUGUGAUUAUCUGAGCAUCUUUUUCAUCAACAGGUACAGAUUUCAUUGGGAUAUUUCGUCGAACAGGUGGUGAUGUAACAGUUGCAUCAAUAAAUUGUUCUGGGGUUUCAUCUUCAACGUCCCAAGAAUCAUUAUUUCCUUUAGAAACGAAAGAUUGAACAAACCCAAUACCAAAGAACCCCAACAGAUAAAUAACUGAAGCGAUCAACGAAAACAUAGCAACUAAUUCAGAAAAGUUAAGCACGUGGAGUGGAAUUCCAUCACGGAUCUUCUCACGCCAUCUGUGUAGAAGAAAAUACAUGACAGAGAAAAACAUGGUGAAGAACAAACCAUUUGUAAGAUACAAAGGUAAUGGAAGAGCAUCUGAAGCUUUAACAGAGGAAUCUUGAUUACGGGGUCUGAGAGGUUCUCCGGAGGAAAUGUGUUUGGAAGCGUCAAGGGGUUUUACAGCUCGCCGGCGAACGUCCAUCUGUAAAAUUUUCCGGUGCCGGAAUUUACAGAGAAGAAACGGAGAAA
rnacentral:misc_RNA from 1 species